AGUACUGUUAUGGGAUGGAAGUUCUUGUGCUCACAGCUUGGAUUCAUCUGUGAAGAGUGUCCUCAACUGAGGAACUGUCUACAUCAAAUGGGCCUGUAAGCAUGCCUGUGGGGCCUGGGUUUCCUUGAUCCUUUCUGAUGCCCAGCAUAUUGUGAGCAGUGUCAUCCCUAGGCAGGUGAUACUAGGCUGCAUUACAAAGUUAGCUAAAUAUAACUUACUGAGAAACUCAGUAAGCCACAUUUCUCUCUGGAUUUUACUUCAAAUUCCUGUUUAACUCCUAUGAUGGAUUGUAGCCUGUAAACUAAUAAACCCUUUCUUUCCUUGUGUUA
rnacentral:lncRNA from 1 species